GUCUAUCUGUUUACCUCUUUUUGUCUGCCUCUUGCUUUGUUACCGACGGCUUCCUUCAGACUUCGACGAGCCGAACUGCCACUCGGGCAAGCAGUAGGCACAUGCGUACCGCGACGUCGACUUUCCGUAGCCGAUGCUCAUGUAUCUCGUCCUGGACAAGUGGUUCCCGCUCGAGGAGGCGUUCAGGUUGGGCCACAUGUACUUCCAGGGCCACGAGUAGGUGCUGCCGUUUGGGUAGACGCUCAGCGACCGGUAGCACGUCAUGCAGCUGCUCCAGACCCGCCGGUGCCCGGGGAGCUAGGAGGGGCGGCUGGGGAUGCUAGCGCGGCGGCGAGCGUAGACCCGGCGGAUGCGGCUGUCGUUCGAGAACGGCCGGACCCAUCCGUAGUACACCCGCCGCUGCCUCCUCCUCUCUCGCCUCUUCCAGCUCCUGUGCGAUCGCCGAUAGCCGGUUAACCUCCUCCGCAAGCCGUUCACGAGCUUCCCUUUCCGGAAGAAGCGGCCGCUAAGGCAGCCCAUGGAGCUGGAGCAGCAGCCGAGCGUCAACGAGACCAAGCUUCGCGACGUCUUCUACAAGCCGCAGCACCAGCAACUCCACCCAUCCCGAGGCGAGAACCGGCGCACCCACUUCGUCAAACCCCUCUGACUAUGCCGGUUCCUCCACCACGGCCUGCAACUGUGCCGCCACCUCAUGGACUGCUUCGAAGUCAGAGCAGCCCGACCAAGGUGCCAACGGGUCAACGACAGCACUGUUUUCAUCUCACCUUAAACAGCUGGGUCGAUCGUUCAUGUCGCUUAAAAGAGAAAUCCGGUCGAAAUAUCAGUACAGAACAUUCCUACGUUUCUUACCUGACCAAAGGGAGGACUGUGGUGCAUCGAUGAAGAGGUUUCUCCUAUUGUUUAGCAAACCACACCCAUCUACGUUAACAUAGAUGGCUAGUUGCCCCCUCCAUUGUACAGUCCGGGUGAUGUUGGGGUGCGGGAGAGGAGCAGUUCGUAUGCCAGAGCCGCACCCGGCUGGGCGCUCCGCUUCCUUCGGGUUGGGCGCCUUGGUUCCGGGCCUCACCCACACUGGCUCGCCUCCGUGG
rnacentral:rRNA from 1 species